CCCUUAGAUGUUCUGGGCUGCACGCGCGCUACACUGAUGCGCUCAACGAGUUUAUGACCUUGCCCGGAAGGGUUGGGUAAUCUUCUUAAAACGCAUCGUGAUGGGGAUAGAUUAUUGCAAUUAUUAAUCUUCAACGAGGAAUUCCUAGUAAGCGCGAGUCAUCAGCUCGUGCUGAUUACGUCCCUGCCCUUUGUACACACCGCCCGUCGCUACUGCCAACUGAGAUGGGUCCUGAAUUGUUAGGAACGCCCGUCAAGGGGCCUACCCGGUCCCUAGUGCGGUGACGAGAAUAACUGUAAAUGGCAUAUCUUGUAGGGAGUAAAAGUCGUAACA
rnacentral:rRNA from 1 species